rnacentral:rRNA from 1 species
ACCAGCUGGCUGCAACUGUUUAUUAAAAACACAGCACUGUGCAAACACGAAAGUGGACGUAUACGGUGUGACGCCUGCCCGGUGCUGGAAGGUUAAUUGAUGGGGUUAUCCGUAAGGAGAAGCUCUUGAUCGAAGCCCCAGUAAACGGCGGCCGUAACUAUAACGGUCCUAAGGUAGCGAAAUUCCUUGUCGGGUAAGUUCCGACCUGCACGAAUGGCGUAAUGAUGGCCAGGCUGUCUCCACCCGAGACUCAGUGAAAUUGAACUCGCUGUGAAGAUGCAGUGUACCCGCGGCAAGACGGAAAGACCCCGUGAACCUUUACUAUAGCUUGACACUGAACAUUGAGCCUUGAUG